rnacentral:rRNA from 1 species
AUACGUAGGGGGCGAGCGUUGUCCGGAAUGAUUGGGCGUAAAGGGCGCGUAGGCGGCGCGGUAAGUCUGGAGUGAAAGUCCUGCUUUCAAGGUGGGAAUUGCUUUGGAUACUGUCGGGCUUGAGUGCAGGGGAGGUAAGUGGAAUUCCCAGUGUAGCGGUGAAAUGCGUAGAGAUUGGGAGGAACACCAGUGGCGAGGGCGACUUACUGGACUGUAACUGACGCUGAGGCGCGAAAGUGUGGGGAGCAAACAGGAUUAGAUACCCUGGUAGUCCACACUGUAAACGAUGAAUGCUAGGUGUAGGGGGUAUCGACCCCUUCUGUGCCGCAGUCAACACAAUAAGCAUUCCGCCUGGGGAGUACGGCCGCAAGGUUGAAACUCAAAGGAAUUGACGGGG